rnacentral:rRNA from 1 species
AAGCAGAGGGGGCUUAGUGGUGGGGUGACUGCGUACCUUUUGUAUAAUGGGUCAGCGACUUAUAUUCUGUAGCAAGGUUAACCGUAUAGGGGAGCCGGAGGGAAACCGAGUCUUAAUUGGGCGUUAAGUUGCAGGGUAUAGACCCGAAACCCGGUGAUCUAGCCAUGGGCAGGUUGAAGGUUGGGUAACACUAACUGGAGGACCGAACCGACUAAUGUUGAAAAAUUAGCGGAUGACCUGUGGCUGGGGGUGAAAGGCCAAUCAAACCGGGAGAUAGCUGGUUCUCCCCGAAAGCUAUUUAGGUAGCGCCUCGUGAAUUCAUCUCCGGGGGUAGAGCACUGUUUCGGCUAGGGGGCCAUCCCGGCUUACCAACCCGAUGCAAACUGCGAAUACCGGAGAAUGUUAUCACGGGAGACACACGGCGGGUGCUAACGUCCGUCGUGAAGAGGGAAACAACCCAGACCGCCAGCUAAGGUCCCAAAGUCAUGGUUAAGUGGGAAACGAUGUGGGAAGGCCCAGACAGCCAGGAUGUUGGCUUAGAAGCAGCCAUCAUUUAAAGAAAGCGUAAUAGCUCACUGGUCGAGUCGGCCUGCGCGGAAGAUGUAACGGGGCUAAACCAUGCACCGAAGCUGCGGCAGCGAACGUAUCACUUAAAGCGAUUCAGCGGGUUACGAUUGACGGAGCGAAGCGACGUCAAAGCGUAUACAAAGUCGAGUCGGUUUAAGGAUACGUUCGUUGGGUAGGGGAGCGUUCUGUAAGCCUGUGAAGGUGUGUCGUGAGGCAUGCUGGAGGUAUCAGAAGUGCGAAUGCUGACAUAAGUAACGAUAAAGCGGGUGAAAAGCCCGCUCGCCGGAAGACCAAGGGUUCCUGUCCAACGUUAAUCGGGGCAGGGUGAGUCGACCCCUAAGGCGAGGCCGAAAGGCGUAGUCGAUGGGAAACGGGUUAAUAUUCCCGUACUUGGUGUUACUGCGAAGGGGGGACGGAGAAGGCUAUGUUGGCCGGGCGACGGUUGUCCCGGUUUAAGCGUGUAGGCUGGUUUUCCAGGCAAAUCCGGAAAAUCAAGGCUGAGGCGUGAUGACGAGGCACUACGGUGCUGAAGCAACAAAUGCCCUGCUUCCAGGAAAAGCCUCUAAGCAUCAGGUAACAUCAAAUCGUACCCCAAACCGACACAGGUGGUCAGGUAGAGAAUACCAAGGCGCUUGAGAGAACUCGGGUGAAGGAACUAGGCAAAAUGGUGCCGUAACUUCGGGAGAAGGCACGCUGACA